rnacentral:rRNA from 1 species
CCCCACCCCAAUCCCUAAAUUCUUAUUCAACCCUUUUUACAAUAAUGAGUAAUUCUAUAUCCCUAUAGAAAUUUUUAUGUUAAAACUAGUAACAAGAAGACGACCCUUCUCCUGAAUGCAAACAUAAACCAGAAAGGACACACCACUGGUAAUUAACACCCCUGAGCUGCUAAUAGCAACGUCAUGAAAAACCCCUAUUUAUUAACAUGUUAACCUAACACAAGAGCAUUAAAAGAAAGAUUAAAAGGAAAAGAAGGAACUCGGCAAACAACAACCUCGCCUGUUUACCAAAAACAUCGCCUCUCGAACAAAUAUGAGAGGUCCAGCCUGCCCAGUGACUCUGUUCAACGGCCGCGGUAUCCUAACCGUGCAAAGGUAGCGUAAUCACUUGUCCUUUAAAUGAGGACUAGUAUGAACGGCACCACGAAGGUUACACUGUCUCCUUUUCCCAAUCAGUGAAACUGAUCUCCCCGUGAAGAAGCGGGGAUAAAUAUACAAGACGAGAAGACCCUAUGGAGCUUUAAACGAAACAACAGCCGCCACCUAAAUUAAAUUCCAGAAAAUUCAUCUCUACCCCGGCAGCAUGAUUGCUAGUUUUAGGUUGGGGUGACCGCGGAGAAUAAACCAUCCUCCACAUUGAAAGGGGACUCCCCUAAGCAAAAAGCCACAACUUUACGCAUCAAUAAAUUGACAUCAAUUGACCCAAUAUUUUGAUCAACGAACCAAGUUACCCUAGGGAUAACAGCGCAAUCCAUUUUGAGAGCCCCUAUCGACAAAUGGGUUUACGACCUCGAUGUUGGAUCAGGGUAUCCCAGUGGUGCAGCCGCUACUAAUG